AACGAACGCUGGCGGCAGGCUUAACACAUGCAAGUCGAGCGCCCCUCCUUCAAGCAAGCUUGAAGGAUUUUAUCCUUGAAAAAGAAGAUCAAGAAGAGCUUCAGAAUGAAGCUUUCUUGAUGGAGGGGAGCGGCAGACGGGUGAGUAACGCGUGGGAAUCUACCCAUNCCUACGGAAUAACGCAUGGAAACGUGUGCUAAUACCGUAUACGCCCUUAGGGGGAAAGAUUUAUCGGGGAUGGAUGAGCCCGCGUUGGAUUAGCUAGUUGGUGGGGUAAAGGCCUACCAAGGCGACGAUCCAUAGCUGGUCUGAGAGGAUGAUCAGCCACAUUGGGACUGAGACACGGCCCAAACUCCUACGGGAGGCAGCAGUGGGGAAUAUUGGACAAUGGGCGCAAGCCUGAUCCAGCCAUGCCGCGUGAGUGAUGAAGGCCUUAGGGUUGUAAAGCUCUUUCACCGAUGAAGAUAAUGACGGUAGUCGGAGAAGAAGCCCCGGCUAACUUCGUG
rnacentral:rRNA from 2 species